rnacentral:misc_RNA from 1 species
CUCGUCCCACGAAGUUAUGUAAACCAUUUUAGUCGCAAAAUAUAGCAGAUAAAAAAAGAAAGAGAGAUAGAUGAGAAGAAUUGGGGAUUUUCACGAAUCUGAUGGGCCGUCGAGCGUCGACUAAAUUUUAGGCUUUGUCGAGCGUAGAAUAAAUUCUAGGCUUAGCAGUUAGCACAGAUUUUGAUUUGUUUUCUAUGGGAGCAGUGGCGGAGGAAUGGAGGGGUUACAAGGGGAGCCCGACCUCUCAAACACCUGUAAAAAAUUUUUGUUACCGAGUGACGGUAA